GGCCGGACACUCACCGGAAUCACGCCUGCACUGCCAAGGGGCGUUUUUCCGGCACCUCGCCUUGCCUGAGCGCCUAGGCGCAAGAAGCGAGCGCUUUUAAUAACUAUGAGUGAUAGUAUGUCUAUAUCCCAAAUUAGGAUGAAUCGAUCAUGUUUCAUCAAGUUGUGUGACAUGCUUAAAGAAUUUGGAGAAUUAAGAUCAAGUAAGAAUUAAGAAUAUGGAUAUUGAUGAGCAAGUAGCCAUCUUCCUUCACAUUAUAACUCAUAAUGUUUAAGAAUAGGGUCAUCGUAUGCCGUUUUCAUCGUUCGGAAGAAACCAUUAGUAGAUGUGUUUCUCGGGUUUGCAAUGCGGUGAUUAGAUUGCAUUCACGUUUGCUUAAGAGACCCGAGCCUAUUCCCGAAUAUUCUACUGAUCAAAGGUGUAAUCAUUAUAAUUUUUAAUGUUAUACUUAUGUUAGGAUUUAUAAAUAUAUAAUAACAAUUUUUGUAUAUAUAUAUAUAUAUUUUUGUUUUAGAAUUGUUUAGGAGCUUUAGAUGGAACAUACAUAAAGUGCUUAGUACCGAGUGAAGAGAAACCUAAAUAUAGAACAAGAAAGGGAGAGAUUGCUACAAAUGUGUUAGGUGUGUGUUCGCCGGAUAUGCAAUUUGUUUUUGUGUUACCGGGUUGGGAAGGGUCGGCGGCCGAUGGUAGAGUCCUUCGAGAUGCUCUUGAUAGGCCACAUGGAUUGAAAGUUUCAAGGCCGGGUUAUUAUUUGGUAGACGCAGAUACACAAAUGGAGAAGGUUUUCUCGCCCCUUAUAGAGGUCAAAGAUAUCAUUUAAAUGAUUGGUGUGAUGGACAUCAACCCACUACCCCAAAGGAGUUAUUUAACAUGAGACAUUCGUCUGCAAGAAAUGUUAUCGAAAGAUGUUUUGGUAUUUUGAAAGCAGGGUGGGGAAUUUUGAAAGACCACUCAUACUAUACCAUUGACCAAAAAAAUAGGAUGAUAAUGGCAUGUUGUCUUCUUCAUAAUUUUAUAAGAAGAGAGAUGCCGGUUGAUCCAUUUGAGACGGGAGUUUUGCUAGAUGAAGGAUUUGGAGAUGGACAUGGAGAUGGGGAUGGGGAUGGGGAUAGAGAUAGAGAUGGGGAUGAGGAUAAUAUAACUUAUAUUGAGACUUCAAAUGAGUGGACAACGUUUAGAAACAAUCUAGCCCAAAGCAUGUUUGACGCUUGGAAUGUUUGAGGUGCCUAUCAGUGAUUAUAUCUGUUUGGAAUCAAUACAACACUAGUUGUAAAUCAUCAAACCAAAAGCUUCAUCUUCAUCUUUUGAGUUUUCUUAACUUUUGCAAGUUCAAGCACCUAAUCAAUAGGUGUUUGGAUCAAAACAAUCAAACCACUGUGAUCCGGAUUGAUUUUGGGAUCUACAAAAUGUCUUCCGUAUUAUGAAGAAUUGUGAAUUAUUUUUGGAAAAGAUCGAGUUCAAGGCAAUAGAGCCAAAAGCGUGGUCGAGAUGGAACAAGAGGUGAACGUGGAAGAACAAGAGCACCAAAUGGAUGAUGAUUUUGGUGAACAUAGCCAUAAUGAGAUACAAAUUCUAGUUGUAUGUUUGAGUUAACUUUUAGUCGCAUGUUUGAACUACUUGUAGUCGUAUGUUAAACAACUUUUAAUUGUACGUUUGAACUUUCGGUUAGUAUAAUAUGUUUAUAAGACAUAUGUUUGGUAAUAUGUUCAUUUUUAAUUUAUUUUGGUUGGAUACUUUGUAUAACUUUAGUGAAGAUUAUUUAAGAUUUUUUUU